rnacentral:rRNA from 1 species
GUGGGGAAUUUUGGACAAUGGGGGCAACCCUGAUCCAGCCAUGCCGCGUGCGGGAAGAAGGCCUUCGGGUUGUAAACCGCUUUUGUCAGGGAAGAAAUCCUUUGGGUUAAUACCUCGGAGGGAUGACGGUACCUGAAGAAUAAGCACCGGCUAACUACGUGCCAGCAGCCGCGGUAAUACGUAGGGUGCGAGCGUUAAUCGGAAUUACUGGGCGUAAAGCGUGCGCAGGCGGUUUUGUAAGAUCGAUGUGAAAUCCCCGGGCUCAACCUGGGAACUGCAUUGGGGACUGCAAGGCUGGAGUGCGGCAGAGGGGGAUGGAAUUCCGCGUGUAGCAGUGAAAUGCGUAGAUAUGCGGAGGAACACCGAUGGCGAAGGCAAUCCCCUGGGCCUGCACUGACGCUCAUGCACGAAAGCGUGGGGAGCAAACAGGAUUAGAAACCCCGGUAGUCC